GUUGCAGAUCCCAGUUUAAUUCUAUCCUCUGCUUGAUAAGGAGAAUGGAUUUGAAUAGGAUUCCUCCACCACUCAGUGUCCAAUAAUGCAAUGGCUGGAGGACAAGAGAGCAUCAGAGUAAUUGGGUGGACAUGUUGGAUAUUAAUGGUAAUUCUGAUGGUGUGGAGUCACCAGACCAGUGGACAAGGGCAAGCCCAGUGAGAGUCACCUUGUGUGGAGGCACAAGGCACUGGAAAAAGAACUCAGGACCCAAUCCAUGAAAGAAGAGGAGAACAGCCCCUUCAAGCAAGCACUGAAGAGGAGGCUUGAGCCACACCAUGGGAAGAAGGGCUACAAUGAGAAGCCCCCUUCCUGUGGGCCCCUGCAU